AUAAUCUCCCUCGACCUAAUCCAU
rnacentral:siRNA from 1 species